rnacentral:misc_RNA from 1 species
ACCUCCCACUGCUCAUUUGGAAAUCCAUAGAGGCACAAAUUUUCCCUCUCGGGAUCGCACUGCUGGUAGAAAGAAGCCACAUCAGCGGUGAGAGCGCGGACGAUGGCGGCGCGGCGGCCCUUGAAGUCGCGGAACAAAGCGUCGACGUUGUGGAGGUUGUAGCCGUCCAUGGCGACGGCGGCGACGGCGGCGGAGGAGAUCGGGGUGGGAAGGGAUCGAUGAAGCGGGGAGGAGGUUUGAAUCGCG